ensembl:lincRNA Gm26708 predicted gene, 26708
CCUGGAUUGAAAAGUUUAGCCUACACUGGUUUAGAACUCACAUGCUUCUAGCCUCUACCACCACUUGCUGAGAUUCAAGACUUCUUGAACAGCCACUACCAUAAAUGCUCUGGUCCAUCUCGUACGUGUUCCCGUGUUGCAGGCGGCUGUUGGGGAAGAUGACCAGGACUGAAAACAGAGCAUGCUUUGUAUCAGAGCUUCUCAGACUACAGACUACCCUAGAAACAUCUGGGAGCCCUGUUUCAAGACAAAGCUUCAUUCCAUAGAUCUACAAUGACCUGACAUGGCUUCUGACAGAACAAGCUCCUGGCAAUACCAGUGCCUGACUAAGUUAUAGAAUAUAAUUCCUCAAUUACUUGAAAAUUCUUCAAUCAUAUCGUGCAUAAAUAUGACAAAAAGAAGGUGAGGAUCAGGCCCAGGGCAUAUUCAGAACUGAAUACUUCUUAGUCCUUGGAAUGCCCCAUCCAGAGAGAGCAGAGACAACUCAGCAGCUGAAGAGAAGAGCAGUAUUCUGCUCCUAGGCUUGUUCAUGAAGCCUAUCAUCCAUCCUGCUCCCUGCAUAUCAGGCUCAACCACCAAACCAUGCUGUUUUAGAAUCUGGACAGAUGCCACAAUAUGUGUACUCAAGAGUAACAAGGCUUUUGUUUCUCCAUCUAUAAGAUAGAUGGUUUUAAAAGACUGUUUUUUCUAGCUCUCACCUUACAGAAAAACUAUUAAAGGAAAUCAAGAAUGCAGGCAUGGGCAAUGUUCGGUAUUCUUAGCCACUGAGAUUACAUCUUAAUCUAGUAAGCAUGGUUAUCACCAAGAAAAAAAAAAAACUACAGUCAAUGCUGACAAGGAGUUGAGGAAAGAGGAACCCUUGUUCACUGUUGGUGGCAAUGUGAUCUGAUGAAGUUUUUAUGGAAAUCAAUGUAUAAGGUCCUCAAAAACUCAAACGAGUAUUACCAUAUGGCUAGGUGAUAGCAUUCCUGUGCAAAUAUCCAAAGGCAUCUGAGUUAAUAUACCACAGAGCCAUUUGUGUACCCAUUUAUUGCUGUUCUCUUUACAAAAGCCAAAAUAUUGAAGGAAUCACCCUUGGUGUCUAUUAGCAGAUGACUUGCUAGUAAAAAUAUGGUAAUAUGGUGCAUAUAUACAAUGGAAUGCAAUUUAUCCAUAAAGAAAAGUGGAAUUAUGUCACUUGUAAGAAAUGAAUAUAAUUUAGGACCAUCAAAAGAAAAUAAAGCUGAAUCAGAAC